UGCCUUUCUAACAACAGGGAGUCCCUAUA
rnacentral:piRNA from 1 species